CCCUGGUGGCUCAGAUGGUAAAGAAUCUGCCUGCAAUGCAGCAGAUCCGGGUUCAAUCCCUGGAUCAGGAA
rnacentral:tRNA from 1 species